rnacentral:lncRNA from 1 species
UGUGGUUCUGCCACACGACCUUUACAAAUGAUAUUUCUCGGUUGCGGAGUAUUUUGCUCUCUCGGUCCGUGAUACCGACCGGUACUUCUUCAUAAGACAAGUCCUCUUGGAGUGGAAGCGGUUCAUGAGUCAAGACAUGAGAAGGGUCCGGAUUGUACUUACGUAGCAUAGAUACGUGAAACACAUUGUGAACUCGGGAGAGCUCGGGAGG